CCCCGCAUCAUACAAAUGCUCCGAUAAGCGCGAAUUGCCGCAACCAGGCACGAGAAUCUGCACCCAAAAAUUAGGAUGAAGAGUAUUAUCGUGGUCUCCAGUGGGCGGAGCUCCAUCAAGGAGGGAGAGGAGUGGCUGACGGAGCUCAGUCCACUCAGCAUACCACUCGAAAGAGUCAUCGCUGCCCCGAAUUGUGAAAAACUUAUCCCAAUUUUCCUUGCUGGUGAAGUCUCCUAGGGCUUUGAGAAGCUCGUCGGAGGAUGAUUGCGAUGGUUGUUUUUCUCUCUUCCCCAUUUUAGAUUUGAGGUUACUCAGGU
rnacentral:misc_RNA from 1 species